AGAGUUUGAUCCUGGCUCAGGAUGAACGCUGGCGGCGUGCCUAAUACAUGCAAGUCGAGCGAACGGACGAGAAGCUUGCUUCUCUGAUGUUAGCGGCGGACGGGUGAGUAACACGUGGAUAACCUACCUAUAAGACUGGGAUAACUUCGGGAAACCGGAGCUAAUACCGGAUAAUAUUUUGAACCGCAUGGUUCAAAAGUGAAAGACGGUCUUGCUGUCACUUAUAGAUGGAUCCGCGCUGCAUUAGCUAGUUGGUAAGGUAACGGCUUACCAAGGCAACGAUGCAUAGCCGACCUGAGAGGGUGAUCGGCCACACUGGAACUGAGACACGGUCCAGACUCCUACGGGAGGCAGCAGUAGGGAAUCUUCCGCAAUGGGCGAAAGCCUGACGGAGCAACGCCGCGUGAGUGAUGAAGGUCUUCGGAUCGCAAAACUCUGUUAUUAGGGAAGAACAUAUGUGUAAGUAACUGUGCACAUCUUGACGGUACCUAAUCAGAAAGCCACGGCUAACUACGUGCCAGCAGCCGCGGUAAUACGUAGGUGGCAAGCGUUAUCCGGAAUUAUUGGGCGUAAAGCGCGCGUAGGCGGUUUUUUAAGUCUGAUGUGAAAGCCCACGGCUCAACCGUGGAGGGUCAUUGGAAACUGGAAAACUUGAGUGCAGAAGAGGAAAGUGGAAUUCCAUGUGUAGCGGUGAAAUGCGCAGAGAUAUGGAGGAACACCAGUGGCGAAGGCGACUUUCUGGUCUGUAACUGACGCUGAUGUGCGAAAGCGUGGGGAUCAAACAGGAUUAGAUACCCUGGUAGUCCACGCCGUAAACGAUGAGUGCUAAGUGUUAGGGGGUUUCCGCCCCUUAGUGCUGCAGCUAACGCAUUAAGCACUCCGCCUGGGGAGUACGACCGCAAGGUUGAAACUCAAAGGAAUUGACGGGGACCCGCACAAGCGGUGGAGCAUGUGGUUUAAUUCGAAGCAACGCGAAGAACCUUACCAAAUCUUGACAUCCUUUGACAACUCUAGAGAUAGAGCCUUCCUCUUCGGGGGACAAAGUGACAGGUGGUGCAUGGUUGUCGUCAGCUCGUGUCGUGAGAUGUUGGGUUAAGUCCCGCAACGAGCGCAACCCUUAAGCUUAGUUGCCAUCAUUAAGUUGGGCACUCUAAGUUGACUGCCGGUGACAAACCGGAGGAAGGUGGGGAUGACGUCAAAUCAUCAUGCCCCUUAUGAUUUGGGCUACACACGUGCUACAAUGGACAAUACAAAGGGCAGCGAAACCGCGAGGUCAAGCAAAUCCCAUAAAGUUGUUCUCAGUUCGGAUUGUAGUCUGCAACUCGACUACAUGAAGCUGGAAUCGCUAGUAAUCGUAGAUCAGCAUGCUACGGUGAAUACGUUCCCGGGUCUUGUACACACCGCCCGUCACACCACGAGAGUUUGUAACACCCGAAGCCGGUGGAGUAACCUUUUAGGAGCUAGCCGUCGAAGGUGGGACAAAUGAUUGGGGUGAAGUCGUAACAAGGUAGCCGUAUCGGAAGGUGCGGCUGGAUCACCU
rnacentral:rRNA from 1 species